UACGGGGGGGGCAAGCGUUGUUCGGAAUUACUGGGCGUAAAGGGCUCGUAGGCGGCCAACUAAGUCAGACGUGAAAUCCCUCGGCUUAACCGGGGAACUGCGUCUGAGACUGAUUGGCUCGAGGACAGGAGAGGAACGCGGAAUUCCAGGUGUAGCGGUGAAAUGCGUAGAUAUCUGGAGGAACACCGGUGGCGAAGGCGGCGUUCUGGACUGUUUCUGACACUGAAUAACGAGAGCCAGGGGAGCAAACGGG
rnacentral:rRNA from 1 species